UCCCUGGUGGUCCAGUGGUUAGGACUCUGUGCUGCCACUGAAGGGGACCCAGGUUCCAUCCCUGGUCAGGGAA